rnacentral:rRNA from 1 species
GCCGCGUGAGCGAAGAAGGCCUUCGGGUCGUAAAGCUCUGUCCUAAGGGAAGAAUCAUGACGGUACCUUAGGAGGAAGCCCCGGCUAACUACGUGCCAGCAGCCGCGGUAAUACGUAGGGGGCAAGCGUUAUCCGGAAUCACUGGGCGUAAAGGGUGCGUAGGCGGUCAAAUGGGCCAGAGGUGAAAGGCUACGGCUUAACCGUAGUAAGCCUUUGAAACUGUUUGACUUGAGUGCAGGAGAGGAGAGUGGAAUUCCUAGUGUAGCGGUGAAAUGCGUAGAUAUUAGGAGGAACACCAGUGGCGAAGGCGACUCUCUGGACUG